rnacentral:rRNA from 1 species
GCAUAUCAAUAAGCGGAGGAAAAGAAACCAACCGGGAUUGCCUCAGUAACGGCGAAGUGAAGCGGCAAGAGCUCAAAUUUGAAAGCUGGCCCCUCCGGGGUCCGCAUUGUAAUUUGCAGAGGAUGCUUCGGGUGCAGCCCCCGUCUAAGUGCCCUGGAAUGGGCCGUCAGAGAGGGUGAGAAUCCCGUCUGGGAUGGGGUGCCUGUGCCCGUGUGAAGCUCCUUCGACGAGUCGAGUUGUUUGGGAAUGCAGCUCUAAAUGGGUGGUAAAUUUCAUCUAAAGCUAAAUAUUGGCCGGAGACCGAUAGCGCACAAGUAGAGUGAUCGAAAGAUGAAAAGCACUUUGAAAAGAGAGUUAAACAGCACGUGAAAUUGUUGAAAGGGAAGCGCUUGCGACCAGACUCGCCUCCGGGGUUCAGCCGGCAUUCGUGCCGGUGUACUUCCCCGGGGGCGGGCCAGCGUCGGUUUGGGCGGCCGGUCAAAGGCCUCCGGAAUGUAGCGCCCUUCGGGGCGCCUUAUAGCCGGGGGUGCAAUGCGGCCAGCCUGGACCGAGGAACGCGCUUCGGCUCGGACGCUGGCAUAAUGGUCGUAAACGACCCGUCUUGAAACACGGACCAAGGAGUCUAACAUCUACGCGAGUGUUCGGGUGUCAAACCCGUACGCGCAGUGAAAGCGAACGGAGGUGAGAGCCCCCCCGUGGGGCGCAUCAUCGACCGAUCCUGAAGUCUUCGGAUGGAUUUGAGUAGGAGCGUAGCUGUGGGGACCCGAAAGAUGGUGAACUAUGCCUGAAUAGGGCGAAGCCAGAGGAAACUCUGGUGGAGGCUCGCAGCGGUUCUGACGUGCAAAUCGAUCGUCAAAUUUGGGUAUAGGGGGCGAAAGACUAAUCGAACCAUCUGGUAGCUGGUUCUGC